rnacentral:ribozyme from 12 species
UUUUUUUUUUUUUUUUUUUUUUUUUUUUUUUUUUUUUAAAAAGAAAAAAAACUUAAUACUUUCACCGUCAACAUUCA